ACCUCAGACAUAAGCCCGAGCCUGUGCACGAUAAGCAGUCUCGAGGCAACAGGUGGACCAAACAAUUACAAUAAAGCUGGUAUGAGGAACCCAAUGUCUCACAACUUCCUAUUUUUUGUAUGCAGACAUAGUCUUUUAUCUAUCCAAUCCAAGCAGGAUUAUUGCAGAAAGAGCUCUAUUAAAUUGCAGCAGAAGCUGAGGCAGCUGCAGCCUCUGAAAUCAAGGAAAUUGGUUGCCGGGCCUGCAGGCAAGCGCCUAUAUCAAAGGGAUAAAGUUCAGAACCGUCAAAAAUAAGAUUGACACCUGGAAGAACCACUUCCUUACUAUCGGCUUCAUCAGGAUCAGCUUUUAUUGGAUUCACCAGUGGAGUUUCUUCAAUAGGCCUUGUGGCAGCCUCAUAAACUGGAGUUUGAGCAUAGGACCUUAGAAUGCUACCAUCAAAACUCAAAACUUCGGUACGACAACGUUGCCGAUUAGCAAGUUUUAAUCUCUGAUGCUCGCUCAUGGCUCCUGAAAUGGGAGAAGAAGGGUCCACAAGGGGAUUCCAUCUUCCACUAGCAUAGUUCAUAAGAUGUCGAAAUGAGUCCUUUGACUGCUCUUUCUGGUAAAGAAGUUUGGCAGCAGGACCUGUUGCUUGAUACUCUGCACAAACAUCACGCAACCUUUUCCGCAGGCCUUGCAUUGCAUCAUGAUGCCCAGUAAAAGAAUCUGAUUGAAGCAACUCAGAUGAUACAACCCUUUUACAUAUAUUGUUACAUAAUUUUGGACUAAAAAGGGGCAUCCCAAAUUCCACACUUAGUGGUACCCAUUCAUAAUUCUGAUCAUCAGGUGCAAAGUGGUCUGACUCUCUUUCAUUAAAAAGCUUCAACAUGUGAACAUAACCAAUUGUUGACAAUCCCAUCUUAUUUGUCAAAUGAGUUAACAGGGAAUUCAAUUUCAAUCUCUCAUCUUCAGAUAAAACCAAUUCAUUCUCUAUGUGAGCAAUUGAACCAUCAGAGUCGUUGAGGGGCAAAGGUAUGUCCAUGGUAAUGACUCUUCCAGAUUCAUCAAGGUCAUACCUACUGAGGGGCUGCACUAGGACAGCCGAGUAUUUAAGAAGUGAAUUUAAACAAUGUAAAAGUACACCUCCCUUAACUAAAUUCCCUUCAAAUUUGCCUCCCAACCCUCCAAUUAUAGAACCAUCCCAAGACCAUAUAAGGGCUUUUUCACAACCAGCCAAUGGUGCAGGAAGCAAGCGUAAACAUUGUCCUUUCAUCAGAACAACAGACAAAGGCCCACUACCCACACUUGAAUAAAGAACCAAUUUCAUCCAUGGUGUCAAAGAUGAAUGACAAGGAGGACCAAAAUGAAUGGGACCUUUUGGUCCAGGAAG
rnacentral:misc_RNA from 1 species